GCCAAGGAAAGAUCAUGCAGGCCUGUCCCUGCGGUCCCCGUGCGUGCAUUUUAGAGCGUGCCCACGGAAAGCUGAAAGGAGCUGGAAGGAAUGCCAACUUGUCCUGGAAUCGUGAGAACUUCCAAUGACUUGGCAAAUCUCUCUGAAUCACUGACGUUUUGCUGCCACCUCCACCCAUGCCUGUCCCUUGCUUGCUCCCUUGCCGGGUGUCAGUUCGCCAGCCUACGUGCUGAGAAGAAAAGUUAAAAAGGUAUUAAGUUGAUGGCACAACAAUCCCCCGAGUACAUUAGAUUCGCUUUUCUGCCCUCCCCUGCCUGAAUGCAGACCUUGUGCGUCCCCCGUGCACGGAGCGAGCCCGGCGCGGGCAGCCCGAGGAGCAGGCCCGCAGGAAUGCAGGUGAACAGAGCCAAAUUGUUCCAGCUACGAGAAGAAGGGAAGAGAGAGGGAGAAGGAGAGAAAGGAAAAGCAAAGGAGAGAAGGAAGAGCUGGGAGGGGGGGAAAAA